UACAGAGGGUGCAAGCGUUGUUCGGAAUUAUUGGGCGUAAAGCGCGUGUAGGCGGUCCGGUAAGUCCGCUGUGAAAUCCCUCAGCUCAACUGGGGAACUGCGUCUGAUACUGGUCGGCUUGAGUGCAGGAGAGGAACGCGGAAUUCCAGGUGUAGCGGUGAAAUGCGUAGAUAUCUGGAGGAACACCGGUGGCGAAGGCGGCGUUCUGGACUGCAACUGACACUGAGGAACGAAAGCCAGGGGAGCAAACGGG
rnacentral:rRNA from 1 species